GAUGAACGCUAGCUACAGGCUUAACACAUGCAAGUCGAGGGGUAACGAGAGGAAAGCUUGCUUUCCUUGUCGACGACCGGCGCACGGGUGAGUAACGCGUAUCCAACCUGCCCCCAACUAGGGAAUAACCUUGCGACAGUAAGACUAAUACCCUAUAAUUUCCUCAGAUGUCAUCUGACGAGGAAUAAAGAUUUAUCGGUUGUGGAUGGGGAUGCGUCUGAUUAGCUUGUCGGCGGGGUAACGGCCCACCAAGGCAACGAUCAGUAGGGGUUCUGAGAGGAAGGUCCCCCACAUUGGAACUGAGACACGGUCCAAACUCCUACGGGAGGCAGCAGUGAGGAAUAUUGGUCAAUGGGCGGAAGCCUGAACCAGCCAAGUAGCGUGCAGGAUGACGGCCCUAUGGGUUGUAAACUGCUUUUAUACAGGAAUAAAGUUAGCCACGUGUGGUUAUUUGUAGGUACCGUAUGAAUAAGGACCGGCUAAUUCCGUGCCAGCCGCCGCCGUAA
rnacentral:rRNA from 1 species